rnacentral:lncRNA from 10 species
CAAAGAUCAGACAGGAUAAGGCAGGUGGCCCCUUCACUUUGUGAGAAAGCCAGAGCCCAGAGAAGCCACAAAUUCCAUCUAGGACAGGCCAGGAAAGAGGUGGUAUGGCUGCAUUCCAGGCUCAGCGUGGGAAGCGAUGAAUCAACAGAACUUGCUAUGAUUCUGGAUCCACAUGCAGGGAGGAACUGUUCUAGGCAAGCAAUAGAAGCCUUCCCUGUUAAAGCAGAAAGGAAAUUGAUGAGAAAGUAUGGAGUAACUUAUGGAAUCUCCAGAAGGACCAGGCUCAGAGGCUGCAGAACGAGUCCUAUGGAGAUGAGUCGCCCUUGCCAUCAGGAGCAGGUCCUGCUGACACCACGCAC